rnacentral:piRNA from 1 species
UGUGUAAGCCUCCCCAACAUAAACUAAGGU